CAUGCAUUUAAACAAAUUGAUCUACUUCAUCUAAACUGUAUAGUUGUGUGUUUAAAGUUGUUGAGUUGCACUAAUCAUUUUUUGUUAUACUCAUGUUUUCCCCGAGGCUGCAUAUAUUAUUCAAAAAAGAAAAGCAGGUUUAUUUAGCUGUCACUGUAAAAAUGAGAUCUGUUUUAUUCAGGGUUUGUGAACAUGAAUGACACAUCUGGAUUUCUAGACCACUAAUGAUAAACUCUUAUGGGGAUUUGCACUGACUACAGCCACCAUCCCCACUUAACUGAAUUUCUGUUCAGCAGGCAAAAAGAGUCCAUAGGAAGUUGUGGAGCAAGGAGGCCCUGGGGAGAAGAGGCAUCUAAGACCAACAGUGGAAGUUGUAAGGAUGGAUCCCAUGGUUUCAGUGCUAAUUGAUGGAAAGGCCUCAAAAAGGAGCUUGGCAUCCAUAUGUUAAAAUAAUUGAGUCAGAGCAAGGGAGACUCCUGAUGUCCAGGAAGAUCCAGAUAUACUCCUGGCUGGAACCCAUGCGGAGAAGCCCGAGCCAAUAUAUCCACUCAAUCCUGCAGCUGUUUGAGUUCACACAACCAAUGCCUUGUAGUGAUGACAGCAUCCACAGAACAAAGGGCCAUCUGGCUGGCUGUCUAUUGGUUUGGUCCAUCUCAGCUCUGAAUUCACAUUGGAACAACCCUUUUUAUGAAUCUAGCACCUUUCUGCUCUCCUUGCUUUGGAGCUACAUUUCACUAAUACAACAAGAAAUAGCACAGUAGUUGAAAGCAGAUGGUGAUUCCCCCAGUCACCUCUUCCAGCCUUUGCUGUUGCCAUGGGGAGGCACCAUGGUGGCAUCUUGGGAGAAAUUGCCCUCUUAUGAUGAUGAUAUGCAGGGUUGUUGCUUAUUGGACACAGAGUCAUGCUGGGAGGCUAGGCUUGGAGUGGGGGUCUUCUCAUGCAGGAAGCAGAGUCUAAUAGAAGGCAUGCUGGCCCUUCUGACACUCUGCUGCCCUGACCAUUUGGGUCAGGUGGCAAGUGUUCAUAGGGCAAAGGGAAGGUAUGAACAGUAGGCUCACUUGCACUCCUCUUUGGGAGCACAGGGAAAUUGGAAGGAUCCAUGGGGCAUGGGCAGGGUACAACCCUCCUUCACCCAGUCUUCAUGCAGCCUGUCCUGGCUUAUCUGCUGCUGGACCAUGUGGUGUGUAGCCAUCACAUCAUCGAACUUUCUUUUGGACAGAGACACUCCAGAAUUAUAUGGGUCAUAACCUGUGUCCAAGAGGAUUGUCAAUACUGUGGAGUCUGAGAGGUUGGGGCGGGGCACAUUAUGAUAGGCUAUGUACUUCGCAACUUGAUUUGGCCAAGUGUCCUCAAAGACUUCCUAACAAAAGCCUUGCUGUGGUGUCCACUGUCAGUAUUUCCUUGAUGAGUCUUUGUGCCUCAGCGGAGACAUGCUGGGGAAAGUCCAACUUUGGGAACAAGAUUUGUCUCCUUAGUACUGGCCACCCUAAAUAGGCAGCUCCCUUUCAACAUAAAAUACAGAAUGACACCCAGGCUCCAGCUGUCCACUGGGGGGUGGGAGGGUAUGUACUUACCCUUGGAUGACUUCCAGGGCAAGGUACUGGAAAGUGCCCCAGAACUUGGUCAGCUUCUGCCCAGGCUUGAACCUGAUGACUGUGCCAAAGUCAAUCAGUCUGAUGUUGCCUCUGGCAUCCAGCACAAUGUUCUCCGCCUUCAGGUCUCAGUGCAAGAUGCGCAUCUUAUGGCAGUAGCACAUGGCAUACAUGAUCUCCCUGAACAGUCUCUAGGCCUUCUCUUCCUGCAUGCCCCCAGGCAGAAUGAGGUGAUGUACCAGUUCUCUACCUGCAUGUUUCAUCACAAUGUAGACAUUUUUACAGCUUUCAGUAACCUGAAAGAGCUGGAUCACAUUUGCAUGGUUCAAGGUCAUCAUCAUGUCUAUUUCAGAGCAGUCCACCGAGUUCCUCUUUCCCUUUGGCAGGACGUUCAUCACCACUACUGUCCCACUGCAGAGAUGGUGGGAUAGUUUCACAUGACCAAACCCCCCUUGCCCAGUGUCCCUCAAGACCUCAUAAUAAAAAGGUUUCUCAUGAGAGUACUGGGGUCCCUCAAGACCUCAUAAUAAAGAGGCUUCUCAUGAGAGUAAUGGGGUCCAUACUAAUCUGACUAUUCUUACUGUUCUUCCUAAGCAGGGACACCAAUUAAGGAUGCUAGCUUAAAAAAAAUUAACAAAACAAAAUCAAAAAACAAGAGAGAGAAACCCAAAUCAAGGAACUAAUCUCCAAAGACCACAACCACUCAGCAUGCUAUCUGGGAGUUCAACAAGUCACCACCAAGAACUUCCCAUGCUUAUGGACAAAAACCCAACCAGAGCCAUUCUCUUAUAUAUCCUGUGUUUAAAAUUUUCUCAAAUUGGCUCCUUAUGAGGUCAAAGCAAGAAAUAGCCAAAUCAUGCCUGGGCAUCACCCCCCAUUGGCCAUCUCCCUUUGGGUCUACAGGACUUUUCCACUUUAGAAUAAAAAUAAGAAAGUACUCCAGAAGAUUUUUCUUCAAUAGGCUAUGGAAAAUGGUAUUUAUUUUUCAAAAAUUAAAAUUUGUACAGUGCUUCAAUGAA